rnacentral:tRNA from 1 species
GUAGGCAUAGUUUUAACCAAAACGUUAGAUUGUGAUUCUAAAAAUAGAAGUUAGACCCUUCUUGCCCACC